GCCCGGGUGGCGAAAUUUGGUAUACGCAAGGGACUUAAAAUCCCUCGGUGGCAACACCUUGCCGGUUCAAGUCCGGCCCCGGGCACCA
rnacentral:tRNA from 1 species